rnacentral:tRNA from 1 species
GCGCCAGACUCAAGUUCUGGUCCUCUUACGAGGGCGUGGGUUCAAACCCCACUUCUGACA